AGGGUUCAAAUAAAUAACCAGGUGGGGGCGGCAGCCAAGUGGCUUUCUGACAUCAGCCGAGGAGUCCCACUGCUCAUGUCACGGCUCUAUGAGGGCAACUGAGUGCCAGUGCUGGCCGGUUGGACAGCAGCGGGAGGGAUGAGGCCACCGGAGGGAAGCGAGGGGUUGUAAAAGGUCACUCUACUCCUCUUAGGAGGAGAAACAACAGUGGGGCACAGCCAGUGGCUCCCCUGGCCCUAGCGGUGUGCAUUGCUGCGCGGACAUGAAUGGUCGAGCCGGUCAUCUUUCCUUUUCCCCCACCGAGCACGAGACUCCUUUCAUGUCUCCCCUGCAAACCCGCCACCCUGAGGCUCUUACAGCCCAGCUUUUUCUCCCUGCCUUCCACAGGACCAGCCAGGAGAAAGCAUCUCUACUUCACAGGCUCUCAGGAGAAUUUCUGAUUCUCUCAACUCUGUAUUAGAUAAAAAACAACAACAACAACAACAACACAGCAUUCUAUUGGGAUGCGAUUGUCGGUUGCCAUGGUCUUCUGUGCAAACAGAAACCCUUUAUUCCGUGUUACGAGUGCUGAACAGUCAAUCCUGCAGUGUCUGCCACAGAAUGAAUUGCUCUGAUAACCAGAUCGUCCACAGGUGGAAAGCCCUUGAGAUCUUCCCGUUUAUAUUCGCCGAAACUGUGAACUCUCUCUCAGGCUUUUAUCAGAGACCGAAAUGGAGGAAUGAGACAAAUGGACCCCAGACUGAGCACAUAAACUCAACAGCGCAUCUAAAGCCGACAGAAGAACAUUUAUUUUCUCCCUAAUGAAAAGGAUUUUUCCUCCUUGUGGGCUUGAGGUGAUAAAGACUUCUGGAAGCCUUGGAAGAAAUGAAACAGUUUUGUUAGACACUGUCUCCCCGUCUGCUUUGAAAUGAAUUACUAAAUUAAGCCACCAAAGGACAUUUUCAACUCCCCAUUCUCCUCCCUGUAUUUGUUUCCUAUGUAAAUGGAAAUUAGGUUUUCUCCAUUUGUCCUCCCAGACACUUCUAUGCAAAAUUCUCUAGCCAAGUCCUCAGCUGGCCUCCCACAUUCAAUUAUGUUUCCCUCAGCUGAAAGAUUGAGGUGCCUCAUGCGAACUAAUUUUAACUCUCAGACAAUUUAAAAGGCUGGCACUUGUUCUGCACCCUAGAUGAUUCCUUCUGCUUUGAGGCCAGAAAGAUCUAUUUCCAUUUCAUACGAGUGACCCAAAUAUGGGUGAUGCAUAGGGCAUGGAGUAAGCAGGGAAUUCAAAGGAACAUUUCGCAUGGUUUGUGUGUCUCCUAAGAAAUUUCAAUGUAUAUUCACACCCUUCCAUCUUUACCGGAAAAUGUGUGAAUUCUCUUUUUUUACUUCUCUUAAUCUGUUGAAUAUAAUGUUGGAAAUGUC